UACGGAGGGGGCUAGCGUUGUUCGGAAUUACUGGGCGUAAAGCGCACGUAGGCGGCUUUGUAAGUUAGAGGUGAAAGCCCGGGGCUCAACUCCGGAAUUGCCUUUAAGACUGCAUCGCUAGAAUUGUGGAGAGGUGAGUGGAAUUCCGAGUGUAGAGGUGAAAUUCGUAGAUAUUCGGAAGAACACCAGUGGCGAAGGCGACUUCCUGGCCUGUUCUUGACGCUGAGGCGCGAAAGCUAGGGGAGCAAACGGG
rnacentral:rRNA from 1 species